rnacentral:rRNA from 1 species
GAUGAACGCUAGCGGGAGGCCUAACACAUGCAAGCCGAGCGGUAUUGUUUCUUCGGAAAUGAGAGAGCGGCGUACGGGUGCGGAACACGUGUGCAACCUGCCUUUAUCUGGGGGAUAGCCUUUCGAAAGGAAGAUUAAUACUCCAUAAUAUAUUGAACGGCAUCGUUUAAUAUUGAAAGCUCCGGCGGAUAGAGAUGGGCACGCGCAAGAUUAGCUAGUUGGUGAGGUAACGGCUCACCAAGGCGAUGAUCUUUAGGGGGCCUGAGAGGGUGAUCCCCCACACUGGUACUGAGACACGGACCAGACUCCUACGGGAGGCAGCAGUGAGGAAUAUUGGUCAAUGGGUGCAAGCCUGAACCAGCCAUCCCGCGUGAAGGACGACUGCCCUAUGGGUUGUAAACUUCUUUUGUAUAGGGAUAAACCUACCCUCGUGAGGGUAGCUGAAGGUACUAUACGAAUAAGCACCGGCUAACUCCGUGCCAGCAGCCGCGGUAAUACGGAGGGUGCAAGCGUUAUCCGGAUUUAUUGGGUUUAAAGGGUCCGUAGGCGGACUUAUAAGUCAGUGGUGAAAGCCUGUCGCUUAACGAUAGAACUGCCAUUGAUACUGUAAGUCUUGAGUAUAUUUGAGGUAGCUGGAAUAAGUAGUGUAGCGGUGAAAUGCAUAGAUAUUACUUAGAACACCAAUUGCGAAGGCAGGUCUCUGGGCAGUAACUGACGCUGAGGAGCGAAAGCAUGGGGAGCGAACAGGAUUAGAUACCCUGGUAGUCCAUGCCGUAAACGGUGGGCGCUAGGUGUGAGUCCCUUCCACGGGGUUCGUGCCGUAGCUAACGCAUUAAGCGCCCCGCCUGGGGAGUACGGCCGCAAGGCUAAAACUCAAAGGAAUUGACGGGGGCCCGCACAAGCGGCGGAGCAUGUGGAUUAAUUCGAUGCAACGCGAAGAACCUUACCUGGGCUUGACAUACACUGGAUCGGGCUAGAGAUAGUCUUUCCCUUUGUGGCUGGUGUACAGGUGGUGCAUGGUUGUCGUCAGCUCGUGUCGUGAGAUGUUGGGUUAAGUCCCGCAACGAGCGCAACCCUUGUCUUAUGUUGCCAGCAUUUGGUUGGGGACUCAUGAGAGACUGCCGGGGUGAACUCGGAGGAAGGUGGGGAUGACGUCAAAUCAUCAUGCCCCUUAUGUCCAGGGCUUCACACAUGCUACAAUGGUCGGUACAACGCGUGUGCGAUCCUGUGAGGGUGUGCUAAUCGCUGAAAGCCGGUCGUAGUUCGGAUUGGGGUCUGCAACUCGACCCCAUGAAGUCGGAGUCGCUAGUAAUCGCAGAUCAGCAACGCUGCGGUGAAUACGUUCCCGGGCCU